UUCAUUUGGGUUAAAUGGUAUCAUAUAAGCUAACUCUAUUUAAUGACAUUUAAGUAAAAGUUAUGAAGUAGUGUUAGACUCUGAAAUUAUUUUGACUGCUUCAGAUCUGGAAUCGGACAUCAACAUUGAAGUGUGCUCCUAAAUUUUGCUACUUACACAGUGAACUACUGGAAGUCAUUUUUGUACAUGAAUAGAUCAAAUUUAUCACACAUAUAUUUAACUGUGGGAUGGAACAAUGGUGC
rnacentral:lncRNA from 1 species